CAGUCGCCGCGGGAAUACCGAGGGUGCAAGCGUUAAUCGGAAUUACUGGGCGUAAAGCGCGCGUAGGUGGUUUGUUAAGUUGAAUGUGAAAUCCCCGGGCUCAACCUGGGAACUGCAUCCAAAACUGGCAAGCUAGAGUAGGGCAGAGGGUGGUGGAAUUUCCUGUGUAGCGGUGAAAUGCGUAGAUAUAGGAAGGAACACCAGUGGCGAAGGCGACCACCUGGGCUCAUACUGACACUGAGGUGCGAAAGCGUGGGGAGCAAACAGGAUUAGAUACCCCCGUAGUCCCUGUCUCUUAUAC
rnacentral:rRNA from 1 species